rnacentral:rRNA from 1 species
UACGUAGGUGGCAAGCGUUAUCCGGAUUUACUGGGUGUAAAGGGGGCGCAGACGGCAGCGCAAGCCAGGAGUGAAAGCCCGGGGCCCAACCCCGGGACUGCUCUUGGAACUGCGCGGCUGGAGUGCAGGAGGGGCAGGCGGAAUUCCUGGUGUAGCGGUGAAAUGCGUAGAUAUCAGGAGGAACACCGGUGGCGAAGGCGGCCUGCUGGACUGCGACUGACGUUGAGGCCCGAAAGCGUGGGGAGCAAACAGG